GUCUACAGUCAUACCACCCUAAAUGUGUCCAAUCUUAUCUGCUCUCAAAAGCUAAGCAGUGUCAUGCCUAAUUAGUACUUGGAUGGGAGACAAAUCUUCAAAAUAGACUGCUCAGACA
rnacentral:rRNA from 1 species